GGGUCUUGUGUUACUUCUCUCCUGAUUCUUCCUGUGAAGUGAUCUGCCACAUGUGAUAUUAAUAAUAUAGAUUAAAUUUUAAAAGGUACUGUGCCCGAAGCUACUUAUUAGGUUGGUGCAAAAGUAAUGACAUUUUUAAAAACCUCAAUUACUUUUACACCAAACUAAUAAAUGUAAAUAGCAUGAAAAUGAGAAAAAUUCUUCCAGUUUUUGAAAACUAUCUUCUGAUUGAACAAAAAAGUAACUCAUGUCAUUGAUAAACAAGUGAAAUUUCAAUAUACAUCUGUCUUGUUUCACUUUUGUCUUACUCAUUAAUUUAAAAAAAUCAGACAAUACUCAUGUUGGAAUGACAGUUGGAAAGCCAGUUGUUAAACAUUUUCAUCAGCACACCACUCUACCUAGAGUUAAUAGAUGUAUUGCUCCAAAGGUGAACUUGUCUUAACAAAGAAAUGCUAGUGAUGGACUGGAUUUGAAGAAUUCUUCUCUUUCUUACCCCAGACACAAUUAAAUGUUAAGAGAAAAAAAGACAACUAAAUAAAACACUGCAUGUGAGUAACAUGAGGCUUCUUUCCAAUUUUGACACUUCCUUGCUUACAAUUUUUUGCUUAUAAAACAAUCCUACAAUAUCCAGACCAUGGGAACACUGGAAAUAAGAAUAUAUCUGCAUUUCUUAUUGAAAGUUACAAUAACAUUUUGGCAGCACCAUAUGUGAUUUUUCUGUUUUGUACUACAACAGUUUGAACCUAGCACCAUAGUAACAAAUUGUAGAUGCUCAACAAAAUAUUUUAAAAUGGGUG
rnacentral:lncRNA from 1 species